AAACUUAAAGGAAUUGACGGGGGCCCGCACAAGCGGUGGAGCAUGUGGUUUAAUUCGAUGCAACGCGAAGAACCUUACCUACUCUUGACAUCCAGAGAACUUUCCAGAGAUGGAUUGGUGCCUUCGGGAACUCUGAGACAGGUGCUGCAUGGCUGUCGUCAGCUCGUGUUGUGAAAUGUUGGGUUAAGUCCCGCAACGAGCGCAACCCUUAUCCUUUGUUGCCAGCGGUUAGGCCGGGAACUCAAAGGAGACUGCCAGUGAUAAACUGGAGGAAGGUGGGGAUGACGUCAAGUCAUCAUGGCCCUUACGAGUAGGGCUACACACGUGCUACAAUGGCGCAUACAAAGAGAAGCGACCUCGCGAGAGCAAGCGGACCUCAUAAAGUGCGUCGUAGUCCGGAUUGGAGUCUGCAACUCGACUCCAUGAAGUCGGAAUCGCUAGUAAUCGUAGAUCAGAAUGCUACGGUGAAUACGUUCCCGGGCCUUGUACACACCGCCCGU
rnacentral:rRNA from 1 species